UCACACAGGAAGUGUUAAGAAGUUGC
rnacentral:piRNA from 1 species